UACGGAGGGAGCUAGCGUUAUUCGGAAUUACUGGGCGUAAAGCGCACGUAGGCGGCUUUGUAAGUUAGAGGUGAAAGCCUGGAGCUCAACUCCAGAAUUGCCUUUAAGACUGCAUCGCUCGAAUCCGGGAGAGGUGAGUGGAAUUCCGAGUGUAGAGGUGAAAUUCGUAGAUAUUCGGAAGAACACCAGUGGCGAAGGCGGCCUUCUGGACGAACACUGACGCUGAGACACGAAAGCGUGGGGAGCAAACAGG
rnacentral:rRNA from 1 species